rfam:Cavia porcellus supercont2_36 genomic scaffold, whole genome shotgun sequence.
CCCUCUUGCAAUGAGCACAGAGACACAUUGUUGGUGAUGUUGUUCUUGUAUCAGUCAGGGGAAGAGUAGAUGACAGGCCUUUUCUCAUCCUAGCUUGAUGCUUGGCUGGUGGCCAAACUUGUUUCAUGCUUAGGGCACAUGU